rnacentral:rRNA from 1 species
AACGCGAAGAACCUUACCAGGUCUUGACAUCCCUCUGAAUACGGUAGAGAUAUCGUAGGCCUUCGGGACAGAGGAGACAGGUGGUGCAUGGUUGUCGUCAGCUCGUGUCGUGAGAUGUUGGGUUAAGUCCCGCAACGAGCGCAACCCUUGAUCUUAGUUGCCAGCAUGUAAUGGUGGGCACUCUAAGGUGACUGCCGGUGACAAACCGGAGGAAGGCGGGGAUGACGUCAAAUCAUCAUGCCCCUUAUGACCUGGGCUACACACGUACUACAAUGGUCGGUACAACGGGAAGCGAAGCCGCGAGGUGGAGCCAAUCCUAAAAAGCCGAUCUCAGUUCGGAUUGCAGGCUGCAACUCGCCUGCAUGAAGUCGGAAUUGCUAGUAAUCGCGGAUCAGCAUGCCGCGGUGAAUACGUUCCCGGGCCUUGUACACACCGUAGUAC